UACAGAGGUCCCGAGCGUUGUUCGGAUUCAUUGGGCGUAAAGGGUGCGUAGGCGGCAGGGCAAGUCUGAUGUGAAAUCCCGGGGCUCAACCCUGGAACUGCAUUGGAUACUGCCUUGCUAGAGUACUGGAGAGGAAACUGGAAUUUACGGUGUAGCAGUGAAAUGCGUAGAUAUCGUAAGGAAGACCAGUGGCGAAGGCGAGUUUCUGGACAGUUACUGACGCUGAGGCACGAAGGCCAGGGGAGCAAACGGG
rnacentral:rRNA from 1 species